CGUAACUGGAGAGUUUGAUUCUGGCUCAGAAUGAACGCUGGCGGCGUGCCUAACACAUGCAAGUCGUACGAGAAAGGGGCUUCGGCCCUGAGUAGAGUGGCGCACGGGUGAGUAACGCGUGGGUAAUCUACCCUUGGAUUUGGGAUAACUUCGCGAAAGUGGAGCUAAUACCGGAUAGUCUGGCUUUAAAUAAGAAGU
rnacentral:rRNA from 1 species